GACGAACGCUGUCGGCGUGCUUAACACAUGCAAGUCGAACGGAAAGGCCCUGCUUUUGUGGGGUGCUCGAGUGGCGAACGGGUGAGUAACACGUGAGUAACCUGCCCUUGACUUUGGGAUAACUUCAGGGAACUGGGGCUAAUACCGGAUAGGAGCUCCUGCUGCAUGGUGGGGGUUGGAAAGUUUCGGCGGUUGGGGAUGGACUCGCGGCUUAUCAGCUUGUUGGUGGGGUAGUGGCUUACCAAGGCUUUGACGGGUAGCCGGCCUGAGAGGGUGACCGGCCACAUUGGGACUGAGGUACGGCCCAGACUCCUACGGGAGGCAGCAGUGGGGAAUAUUGCACAAUGGGCGGAAGCCUGAUGCAGCAACGCCGCGUGCGGGAUGACGGCCUUCGGGUUGUAAACCGCUUUCGCCUGUGACGAAGCGUGAGUGACGGUAAUGGGUAAAGAAGCACCGGCUAACUACGUGCCAGCAGCCGCGGUGAUACGUAGGGUGCGAGCGUUGUCCGGAUUUAUUGGGCGUAAAGGGCUCGUAGGUGGUUGAUCGCGUCGGAAGUGUAAUCUUGGGGCUUAACCCUGAGCGUGCUUUCGAUACGGGUUGACUUGAGGAAGGUAGGGGAGAAUGGAAUUCCUGGUGGAGCGGUGGAAUGCGCAGAUAUCAGGAGGAACACCAGUGGCGAAGGCGGUUCUCUGGGCCUUUCCUGACGCUGAGGAGCGAAAGCGUGGGGAGCGAACAGGCUUAGAUACCCUGGUAGUCCACGCUGUAAACGGUGGGUACUAGGUGUGGGGUCCAUUCCACGGGUUCCGUGCCGUAGCUAACGCUUUAAGUACCCCGCCUGGGGAGUACGGCCGCAAGGCUAAAACUCAAAGGAAUUGACGGGGCCCCGCACAAGCGGCGGAGCAUGCGGAUUAAUUCGAUGCAACGCGUAGAACCUUACCUGGGUUUGACAUGGAUCGGGAGUGCUCAGAGAUGGGUGUGCCUCUUUUGGGGUCGGUUCACAGGUGGUGCAUGGCUGUCGUCAGCUCGUGUCGUGAGAUGUUGGGUUAAGUCCCGCAACGAGCGCAACCCUUGUUCACUGUUGCCAGCACGUUAUGGUGGGGACUCAGUGGAGACCGCCGGGGUCAACUCGGAGGAAGGUGGGGAUGACGUCAAGUCAUCAUGCCCCUUAUGUCCAGGGCUUCACGCAUGCUACAAUGGCUGGUACAGAGAGUGGCGAGCCUGUGAGGGUGAGCGAAUCUCGGAAAGCCGGUCUCAGUUCGGAUUGGGGUCUGCAACUCGACCUCAUGAAGUCGGAGUCGCUAGUAAUCGCAGAUCAGCAACGCUGCGGUGAAUACGUUCCCGGG
rnacentral:rRNA from 1 species